UCGCACACGUGCCCUCCCUCCUUCUCUCUUCCUUGGACCUAGGUCCACUCCUCCUACGAUAGCGUAAUUUCUCCAUCUUCACUACUCCCUGCUCGUUUUUCAGAUCCAAUAAGGAUUCUCCGUCUAUCUGCUUCCCAUGCCGAUAAGGACCUCCACCUUGGCUCUCUGCUCCGACGAUGAUGGCUUUUAAUGGCUGGGCUCUUGUCGAAGCUCC
rnacentral:lncRNA from 1 species